GACGAACGCUGGCGGCGUGCUUAACACAUGCAAGUCGAACGGAAAGGCCCUGCUUUUGUGGGGUGCUCGAGUGGCGAACGGGUGAGUAACACGUGAGUAACCUGCCCUUGACUUUGGGAUAACUUCAGGAAACUGGGGCUAAUACCGGAUAGGAGCUCCUGCUGCAUGGUGGGGGUUGGAAAGUUUCGGCGGUUGGGGAUGGACUCGCGGCUUAUCAGCUUGUUGGUGGGGUAGUGGCUUACCAAGGCUUUGACGGGUAGCCGGCCUGAGAGGGUGACCGGCCACAUUGGGACUGGGAUACGGCCCGGAGGCCUACGGGAGGCAAGAGUGGGGAAUAUUGCACAAUGGGCGGAAGCCGGAUGCAGCAACGCCGCGUGCGGGAUGACGGCCUUCGGGUUGUAAACCGCUUUCGCCUGUGACGAAGCGUGAGUGACGGUAAUGGGUAAAGAGGCACGGGCUAACUACGU
rnacentral:rRNA from 1 species